GUCUAUGGCCAUACCAUUCUGAACGUGCCCGUUCUUGUCUGAUCUCGGAAGCUAAGCGGGGUCGGGCCUGGUUAGUACUUGGAUGGGAAACCACCUAGGAAGACCAAGUGCUAUAGGCA
rnacentral:rRNA from 1 species